AAAGCACCAUUUCAGCAAAGCAGAUUAAGGCCAGUAGCAUCAAUGUGACAUAAAAAUAUACUAUAUACUUUCCUAGAUAAAUAACUGUGUAAUUUAUGUGAGUUUUUCCUCUAAUUGCUUAUUUUAAUGGGAGUUAAAAAUUUUUGUGGUCACAAGAGAUUAAAUAUUCAAUUUAAAUUGUUUUUAUUAAACACAAAUCCUUAACUCACAAAUCAAAAGGAAUCUAGACAAUCAAAGAUAGCUGGCAGCAGCCCCUCACACGCAGAGUCCCCAAAGGGACUGUAAACCACGGACAGAACUUCCUCAAAAUGUAUCAUGAACAAGGAGAGAAAUAAUAUUUUUGUUUUAGAAAAAAUCUCAUGGGUACACAGGUCUUUGAAUUUUGUGACUGAAUGUUUCCAAACAUGGUGAGCAAUCUGGAUUUCUUGCCAUACUUUGGCCAACUUUAUUCUCCCUACUUUUUGAGACAGAAGAGGACCCAUAGCGCCAGGCCGUGCUGCUCCAGGCUUUGCCCCAAACGUCCCCAGGUCCUCCUUCGGCAGCAGCACUGCCAACUGCUCAGUUCCAAACAAUCUAUAUCCCAACACUAGAAUUUUUAAAGCAGAAAAUCUCAACCAAAAAUUCACCCCAGCUCCAAGCCCAAAGCUCCCUCUCUCCCCAGCCAUCGACAGCAUCAAGCUUAGCCAGCGAGAUUACUGUGCUCUGGCUGUAACAAUAACAACUGUACAGAUUCCAAGAGCAGUUCUCUCCCGUUCUCCCCCUCCCCCGAGAUCCGGUAAACUUACACUAGUGAUCCGACACCUGGCAACACUGCUUCGCACCCAUUUUGAGCCAUGCGUGGAAUAAUUUACAUCACGGAAUGCCAGGGCCAAGAGUUCUGGAGCAGUUGGAAAGGGCAGUUGUGAACAGCAGUUGGACGGAAGAAUGAAAUCCUGAAGAGAUGCCCAGAAGAGGGACACGCCCGAAGGAGGCAGAAGGGAUCAUUUCUACUAAAUGUUUUUUCUUGGUUAAAACUGCCAUCUCCUCUCCAGUUCCCCCAAACUUCCCAUCCUAUCAGUCACGAGGCCAAACAAAUAUAAAAUCGACUCCUGCCACAUGGAAAGAAACUUGCUUUCCUCAGGAAGGGUCUGGAAGGGAUCCUGUGGGGGCAGUCCAUGAAGCCUUUGCUCUGUUGGGUCCAGGGCAGAUGUUCAACAUGUGAAAUGAAUAAACUCCAUCUACUAACAAACA
rnacentral:lncRNA from 1 species